rnacentral:rRNA from 1 species
GGAGGAAUAUUGGUCAAUGGGCGAGAGCCUGAACCAGCCAAGUCGCGUGAGGGAUGACGGUCCUACGGAUUGUAAACCUCUUUUGUCGGGGAACAACAGGGGGCACGCGUGCCUUUGUGAGUGUACCCGAAGAAAAAGCAUCGGCUAACUCCGUGCCAGCAGCCGCGGUAAUACGGAGGAUGCGAGCGUUAUCCGGAUUUAUUGGGUUUAAAGGGUGUGUAGGCGGAUUAUUAAGUCAGCGGUGAAAGCGUGUGGCUCAACCAUACAAUUGCCGUUGAUACUGGUAGUCUUGAGUGUAAACGAGGUAGGCGGAAUGUGAUGUGUAGCGGUGAAAUGCUUAGAUAUGUCACAGAACCCCGAUUGCGAAGGCAGCUUACCAGGAUACGACUGACGCUGAGGCACGAAAGCGU